CUGAGCUCGGGGAUGCAGAGGACCCCAUGGUGAAAGGACCUUCUGUGUUCUUGCAGCCCCCU
rnacentral:miRNA from 1 species